GUGCCAGCCGCCGCGGUAAUACGUAGGGGGCGAGCGUUGUUCGGAAUUACUGGGCGUAAAGGGGGCGCAGGCGGUCUGGCAAGUCUGGUGUAAAAGGCUACGGCUCAACCGUAGUGUGCACCGGAAACUGCUGGGCUGGAGUCCCGGAGGGGGAGCUGGAAUUCCCGGUGUAGGGGUGAAAUCUGUAGAUAUCGGGAGGAACGCCGGAGGCGAAGGCGAGCUCCUGGCCGGAGACUGACGCUGAGGCCCGAAAGCGUGGGGAGCGAACAGGAUUAGAUACCCUGGUAGUCCACGCCGUAAACGAUGUGCACUAGGCGUUGGGCCUUGGAGGCUCGGUGCCGAAGCUAACGCGUUAAGCAUCCCGCCUGGGGACUACGGCCGCAAGGCUGAAACUUAAAUGAAUUGACGGGG
rnacentral:rRNA from 1 species